UGCCAGCAGCCGCGGUAAUACGGAGGGUGCGAGCGUUAGCCGGAUUUAUUGGGUUUAAAGGGUGCGUAGGCGGAAUAAUAAGUCAGUGGUGAAAUCCUGCGGCUCAACCGUAGAACUGCCAUUGAUACUGUUAUUCUUGAAUUUAGUUGAGGUAGGCGGAAUGUGUAAUGUAGCGGUGAAAUGCUUAGAUAUUACACAGAACACCGAUUGCGAAGGCAGCUUACUAAACUAACAUUGACGCUGAUGCACGAAAGCGUGGGGAGCGAACAGGAUUAGAUA
rnacentral:rRNA from 1 species